ACCUCGGAUCAGGUAGGGAUACCCGCUGAACUUAAGCAUAUCAAUAAGCGGAGGAAAAGAAACCAACAGGGAUUACCUCAGUAACGGCGAGUGAAGCGGUAACAGCUCAAAUUUGAAAGCUGGCUCUUUUAGGGUCCGCGUUGUAAUUUGUAGAAGAUGCUUCGGGUGUGGCCCCGGUCUAAGUUCCUUGGAACAGGACGUCAUAGAGGGUGAGAAUCCCGUAUGUGACUGGGUGCUUUCGCUCAUGUGAAGCUCUUUCGACGAGUCGAGUUGUUUGGGAAUGCAGCUCAAAAUGGGUGGUAAAUUUCAUCUAAAGCUAAAUAUUGGCCAGAGACCGAUAGCGCACAAGUAGAGUGAUCGAAAGAUGAAAAGCACUUUGGAAAGAGAGUUAAACAGUACGUGAAAUUGUUGAAAGGGAAGCGCUUGCAACCAGACUUGCGCGCUGAUGAUCAUCCGGGCUUCUGCCCGGUGCACUCGUCUGCGCUCAGGCCAGCAUCGGUUUCGGUGGUGGGAUAAAGGCCUUGGGAAUGUGGCUCCUCUCGGGGAGUGUUAUAGCCCUCGGUGCAAUGCCGCCAACCGGGACC
rnacentral:rRNA from 1 species